CUGCAUUCCUGUGUCACCCACUCCAAAAGGGAAGAUGUCAAAACUUUGAAAAUAAGACCUUGGGAGACAACCGCAAGACCCAACAAGAAAUAAAGGUACAACCGUCAGUGGAGACCGCAAAAAUAAAGGACUUACAAGAGCUACAGAUUAUAAAGAACAUCUUGAAGGAAAGAAUGGAAGAGGCUAGAAAGCUCUGAAAAAUAGAAACAUGACCCAAAAAGAACUUUAAAAGAAAGUGGAGAAGAGAAGCUUGAGUAGGAAGAAAAUGAAGCUGUGGAAUCUAUUAAGAAUUAGGUCUGUGGUAUGGAACUGGCCAAACGCAAGGUGGAAAGAAGAAAUAAAGGUGAUCCCUGUGGGGAAGAACUCCUGGAAGCGUCUGGAAUAAAAGCAAGAAAAAUGGGAAGCAGGAGAGGAACUAAAAUGCUGACUGAAUGUUUGUGAUGUUAAAUCUAGGUUGUUCAUUGAAGAAGAGGAAGCUGGUCUCAUAAUAAUGACUUCUGUUGCGAAACGCCAGAAACUGCUUUCUGAAAAGAUGUUCCUGUGAUCGAGUGGUUUGUCUGACGGUUAGCUCUUUGCACAGAUAAAUCCUGUUAGUGGGCAGUCAGCACCCGAGACAGACACCUGCUCUAACAGAUUAGCUUUACUGGGCAAGCAUACAAGAGCAUGAAGUGAAGCAGUGAUAUGUGUUCCUUGUUAAGCUCAGCUCCCCAGUCCAUCGCCUGUGCAUCUGGGGAGUGCAGGAACCCGGGAUGGGCUAUGGCAGAGGUCAGUGUGGACGUAGCUCCUUUGAAUCGAACGUGUUCACAGGUGCAUUGUUUCGGUCACAUUUUGUAAUUCCCCAGCUUUUUUUUCCAAGGGAUUGAUGCUGAUACCUCACUAGAGGCUUUUCCAGCUCCUCCUGUAACUCUACUUUCCUUAUCUUGCCAAGGAUGCUUCCCUCACCUUUCCUAACCCAUCAGUGCUGCUCAGGGAGUCCUAAAUUGCACAGUGGAAGUUACUCUUCUCAUUUUCAGGGAGUCUGUCACGCGUGAUUUAGCCAGCUGUUGCUUGUGCCAGCUGCACGCUCCCUGCCCUGCAGCAACAGCUUCCUGACAUGACCAGAUGUCAUUGAUGCAAACCUUACAUCUGCACUGUGACCAUUUUCGUGUAU